GUAACCGUUAUCAAACGCCAUAAC
rnacentral:siRNA from 1 species